UUUCUCCAGACUAUCUGAGAUCACAGAAGUACAAACAAUAUUUUGUAGAUAUUCACCUCAGAGAGAGAAAGAAUUGGAAGUCAUUCUUCUGCCUUUAAAAUAGGUCUGUCACAAUUUUGAAAAGAGGAUCCAUCAUCUUCUUGGCCUCGGAGUGUAAGCCAGACAGAAACACCUCCUCCUUCUUUGCAUCUUCAGUUUUCCCUGGAGUAACCAAGGCCAGAGAGGAAAAUUAACCAACAUGAAGUCUGAAAUGUUGCUCCUAAAUUGAAGAGUGACUUUAACACAAUCAGGAGAGAACAUUGUGCUUUCUUUGACAUUGAUGACAGUGUUAGAGAAGACCAGUAAGCAAAUCCCAGAGCAAAGUAAAGAAGAAACAAACCCCUUAAUAUUACUUAAUGAAUAUGGAUGGUACUGAGGAUGCUCAUAAAAAAAAG
rnacentral:lncRNA from 1 species